UACGUAGGGGGCGAGCGUUGUCCGGAUUCAUUGGGCGUAAAGCGUGCGCAGGCGGUUCGUUGUGUCGGUGGUGAAAGCCCCGGGCUUAACCUGGGAAUGGCCAUGGAAACUGGCGAACUGGAGUGUGGCAGAGGGGGGUGGAAUUCCGCGUGUAGCAGUGAAAUGCGUAGAGAUGCGGAGGAACACCGAUGGCGAAGGCAGCCCCCUGGGCUAGCACUGACGCCUCAGGCACGAAAGCGUGGGGAGCAAACAGG
rnacentral:rRNA from 1 species